rnacentral:rRNA from 1 species
UACAGAGGUCCCAAGCGUUGUCCGGAUUUAUUGGGCGUAAAGAGCGUGUAGGCGGCCAGGUAGGUCAGCUGUGAAACUCGAGGCUCAACCUCGAGACGCCGGUUGAAACCAUCUGGCUAGAGUCCGGAAGAGGAGAGUGGAAUUCCUGGUGUAGCGGUGAAAUGCGCAGAUAUCGGGAGGAACACCGGUGGCGAAGGCGGUUCUCUGGGCCUGUACUGACGCUGAGGAGCGAAAGCGUGGGGAGCGAACAGG